rnacentral:rRNA from 1 species
GCGGAGGAAAAGAAUCUAACAAGGAUUCCCCUAGUAACUGCGAGUGAAGCGGGAAAAGCUCAAAUUUAUAAUCUGGCGCAAGCCCGAGUUGUAGUCUGUAGAAGCGUUUUCGGCCGUUGCCUUGGACAAGUCCCUUGGAACAGGGCGUCAUAGAGGGUGAGAAUCCCGUCCUUGCCAAGCUCCCAACGUCUUUGUGAUACGUCUUCCAAGAGUCGAGUUGUUUGGGAAUGCAGCUCAAAAUGGGUGGUAAAUUCCAUCUAAAGCUAAAUAUUGGCGAGAGACCGAUAGCGAACAAGUACCGUGAGGGAAAGAUGAAAAGAACUUUGAAAAGAGAGUUAAACAGUACGUGAAAUUGCUGAAAGGGAAGCGCUUGAAGUCAGUCGCGUUGGCAGGGACUCAGCCUUAACCGGUGCAUUUCCUUGUCGACGGGCCAACAUCGAUUUCGGCCGCGGAAUAAGGGCACGGGGAAUGUGGCAGCUUCGGCUGUGUUAUAGCCUCAUGUCGCACGCCGCGGACGGGAUCGAGGACCGCGGCUUUUGCCUAGGAUGUUGGCGUAAUGGCUUUAAGCGACCCGUCUUG